AUUGAACGCUGGCGGCAGGCUUAACACAUGCAAGUCGAGCGAGCGGCGGACGGGUGAGUAAUGUGGGGGAAACCGCCUGAUGGAGGGGGAUAACUACUGGAAACGGUAGCUAAUACCGCAUACCAUCAGAUGUGCCCAGAUGGGAUGGGCUAGGUGGUGGGGUAAUGGCUCACCUAGGCGACGACCCCUAUCUUGUCAGAGAGGAUGACCAGCCACACUGGAACUGAGACACGGUCCAGACUCCUACGGGAGGCAGCAGUGGGGAAUAUUGCACAAUGGGCGCAAGCCUGAUGCAGCCAUGCCGCGUGUGUGAAGAAGGCCUGCGGGUUGUAAAGCACUGUCAGCGAGGAGGCGUUACUCGCAGAAGAAGCACCGGCUAACUCCGUGCCAGCAGCCGCGGUAAUUC
rnacentral:rRNA from 1 species